GGCCUGGUGGUCUAGUAGUAUGAUUCCUUCUUAGGGCUUUAUGAGCAACUUGGAGGAGGUCCCGGGUUCAAUUCCCGGCCAGGCCC